CAAAUACCAACGCCUGCACUUCCAUUUCCAACACCAAAAACAAAAUGAUAGGGUGCAGUCUGCAAAUGGCGGAAUCGCUAACGAACGAUCAGUUGUCUACGUUCCUGAAAUCGGGCAUUUACCGGUUCGAGAGCUCCAACGCACUGUUCAUCGAUCCGGUCCGAAUCCUCAACCGGUCUUACACUCGGUUUAGGGUUUCACCUUCCUCGUACUACUCCCGCUUCUUCGAAUCCAAUGGCGCACCCGCUGCGACUUCCACAGGCUCCAGAAAACGCAAACGGAAGCAGAAAGAGAAGAGACCUCACACUCUCAAUGAGAGAGAACAAAUCGCCGAUCAACGCCAUCAAGAGGCAAAGCCUUUGUUAUUGAAGGCACAUGAGGCUUUGCUUGAAGCUACUGAUUUACUAGCGGUUAUCAGAAACUUGAGGAGUGAGAGAUGUUCUUCAGAGGGCUGUCAAGACUUGUUCUUACCAAGCGUUGAGCAGUCUUUUGUUGAGCUCUCCAGUGUUUGGCAAGCUCCGUUGUAUGAGAUAACUCUUAAUUUCCCUCCGUACAGAGAGCCCACCGAAGGUUUACCAGUAGUUCACUCCAGUGAACAAAGACUGAUUCCAGUGUUUAAUAACUUGGUUGUUAAUGAGACAAGUAAGGAUGUGGAGGCUGAGUUCCUGAACAGCAGAUACAUAAUUCCCAGAAAAAGUAGUUUCUACAUGUCUGAUCUGGGGAAGAUUCACGAUUUGAUUCCUGCUGAAUCUGAUUGUGGGUUCAAUCUUAUAUUGGUCGAUCCACCAUGGGAAAAUAGCAGCGCCCGUCAAAAAUUGAAGUAUCCAACUUUGCCUAACCGAUACUUCUUAUCUCUUCCAAUUAAGCAACUCACUCAUACAGAAGGAGCUCUUGUAGCCUUGUGGGUGACAAAUAGGGAGAAAUUACGGGGUUUUGUUGAGAAAGAACUAUUUCCGUCUUGGGGAGUCAAAUACAUGGCUACUCUAUAUUGGUUAAAGGUGAAAGCUGAUUGUAUAUUGACCAGUGACUUGGAUCUCUUUCAUCAUAGACCGUAUGAAUGCCUUCUUCUGGGUUACUGUCAUGGAGAGGUUAGAAAUACUGAAUGUUUAUCGAGAUUUAAACCUAUACCCGAUAAUCAAGUCUUCAUUAGUAUUCCUGGGGACUACUCUAGGAAGCCCCCAAUUGGAGAGUUGCUACUAGAGUAUGUGCCAGGAUCCAAGCCUGCUCGUUGCAUUGAACUAUUUGCCAGAGAAAUGUUAGGCGGAUGGACUUCAUGGGGGAAUGAACCCCUUCAUUUCCAAGAGUCGAGAUAUUUUUCAAGGACUGCAAAUACAUAAUACUUUCAAAGGAAAGCCCCUUUCGUUGGAGCUACCUUUACGGACCUGGAAUCUAUGCAGCAUGCGUGUGCAAACGUUUACUUCAUGAACAUGAUGAUCAUGCUUGAAGGGAUGAGGCCAAUGCUUAUACAAAUGCACAAAGACGCAUCACCGUUCAUACUUAGAUAUCAAACGUUCACAGAAGACGAAAAUCAAGAGUUCGGAGUUGCAAAUUCCUCCAAAAACAUAUUCAAAGACUCGAUAUCUGAUUGCUUUUCUUCUUAUUUUUUCUUAAAGGUUCUCUCUACGAAUUUUUCUUCUUCUUGGGUCACAUCUAUCAAUUUUUCUUGUCCUAGUGAAUCUGAUGUUGGUCACUAGAAUAUGGAUUUUGCCCUGGGAUAACUUAUGGAUCAAAGUGAAUACAUUACUAAUUUGAUGCGUAAAA